UCCUGCAUAAAACCAUUGAAAUAUGGAAAUUCACUAUUAAGGACACAUUUUACAUGGUAUAUAUGCUUAUUAACUAACCAUGGAGUGUCAGCCCAGUAGCCACCGGCACCUAUCUAAAACCGGUUCAGGAGUCCAAAGUGGUGCGGGUUCGAAUCCCGCAUGCAUGCUCUUCGCUCCCCUCGAACUCGGCUAGGUAUUCACCGCCAGGCAGCGUUGCCAGGUCGCUAGCUUGGGAAGGGAGAUCCCUUCCGCGGUCAGAGGAUUGCCAUCGAUGAGCAAGAUGGGUAAAGUGAGAUGUUCCGUGGAGGUAAGCCCGAUGUCAUAUCCAACGACAGUGUACCCGAUUUCAUUGUACCAGGAAAGAAUUCAUGGCCAGAGCUUGUAGGGGAAAAAGGAGAAGUGGCAAAAGCGAUAAUUGAGAAAGAAAAUCCACUAGUCAAUGCUAUCAUAAUAUCUGGAAAUUCUCCCACCACGGAUAUGAUGUUUGUGUCCAACCGUGUGAGGGUUGUGGUGAAUGCUGAGGGAUUGGUGACUAAAACACCCAUCAUUGGCUAGUUUAUUAGGUGUGCUUUUGUAGUAUCAAAAUUUUAUAAAUAAACGAUGUGUACUUGUUGUAUCUUA